AUGGAAACGGAGGUCGGCUCCCCGGCCGCCGCCACUGCGGCGCCCAUCAACUUCUCGCUGCCGGUGGACUCUGAGCACAAGGCCAAGUCCAUCAAGAUCUUCUCCUUUGGCAACCCACACAUGCGCGCCUUCCACCUCGGAUGGAUGUCCUUCUUCACCUGCGUCGUCUCCACCUUUGCCGCUGCGCCACUCAUCCCUAUCAUCCGCGACAACCUCAACCUCACCAAGGCCGACAUCGGCAACGCCGGGGUCGCCUCGGUCUCCGGCGCCAUCUUCUCAAGGCUGGCCAUGGGUGCCAUUUGCGACCUCCUUGGCCCACGCUAUGGUUGCGCCUUCUUGGUCAUGCUCUCGGCACCCGCUGUGUUUUGUAUGUCCGUCAUUGAUGGUCCUGGCGGAUAUAUCACUAUUCGCUUCCUCAUCGGUGUCUCCCUCGCCACCUUUGUCUCAUGUCAGUAUUGGAUCAGCACCAUGUUCAAUAGCAAGAUCAUCGGCACAGUCGGUGGCUUGACAGCGGGUUGGGGUGACAUGGGUGGUGGUGCCACACAACUCAUCAUGCCUCUCGUCUUCGACGGCAUCCUGGCAUGUGGUGCCACGUCCUUCAUGGCAUGGCGCAUCGCCUACUUCGUGCCAGGAAUGAUGUUGGUGGUGAUGGGCUUGCUUGUGCUCACCAUGGGGCAAGAUCUUCCUGAUGGUAACCUAAGGAGCCUUCAAAAAAAUGGUGACAUGAACAAAGACAAGUUCUCCAAGGUUCUCCGGGGCGCCGUCACCAACUAUCGUACAUGGAUUUUUGUCUUCAUCUAUGGCUACUGCAUGGGCGUCGAGCUCACCACCAACAACGUGAUCGCCGAGUACUACUACGACAGCUUCCACCUCGACCUCCGUGCUGCUGGUACCAUUGCAGCUAGCUUCGGCUUGGCAAAUAUCUUCGCACGGCCUAUGGGAGGUUACCUCUCCGACCUUGGCGCUCGCUACUUCGGCAUGCGUGCCCGUCUUUGGAACAUUUGGAUACUCCAGACAGCCGGUGGAGUCUUCUGCAUCUGUCUUGGUCGCGCGUCUAGUCUCCCCACCUCCGUCACAUGCAUGGUCCUCUACUCCAUUUGCGUCGAGGCUGCAUGCGGCGCGGUCUAUGGUGUCAUCCCCUUCGUCUCCCGGCGCUCCCUCGGGCUCAUCUCUGGCAUGAGCGGUGCUGGUGGUAAUGUCGGCGGCGGGCUCACACAAUUCCUCUUCUUCACAUCAUCCCAGUACACCACCGGCAAAGGACUCCAGUAUAUGGGCAUCAUGAUCAUGGUGUGCACGCUUCCUGUCGCGCUCGUUCACUUCCCGCAGUGGGGCUCCAUGCUCCUCCCUCCAAGUGCUGACGCCACCGAGGAGGAGUACUACGGUGCCGAGUGGACCGAGGAAGAGAAGAGCAAGGGCCUCCACAUCGCCGGCCAAAAGUUCGCUGAGAAUAGCAUCUCUGAGCGUGGCAAACGCAAUGCCAUCCUCGCCGUACCUUCCAGCCCACCAAACAGCACGCCCCUGCACGUAUAA
rnacentral:rRNA from 1 species